UACGGAGGGUGCAAGCGUUAUCCGGAUUCACUGGGUUUAAAGGGUGCGUAGGUGGGUAGGUAAGUCAGUGGUGAAAUCCCCGAGCUUAACUCGGGAACUGCCGUUGAUACUAUCUAUCUUGAAUAUCGUGGAGGUAAGCGGAAUAUGUCAUGUAGCGGUGAAAUGCUUAGAUAUGACAUAGAACACCCAUUGCGAAGGCAGCUUACUACACGAUCAUUGACACUGAGGCACGAAAGCGUGGGGAGCAAACAG
rnacentral:rRNA from 1 species